UUUUCUACCAUAUGACCUGGUGACGUACGUUCCCAGGUUCCAUUUAUAAAGGUGCUUGGCUGGUGGAGAGGACUGAAACCAACUAAACAAGGAAUUUUGGACAGUAGAAAUAAUGAGAAUGGCACCACCCACAGUUUUGAAUGAUGAUCUGAAGCAGGGGUCUGCAACCUUGGCAACUUUAAGCCUGGAGGACUUCAACUCACAGAAAAAUUCAGCAAUCAUUAAGCGAAUCAUUGCAAUCAUUAAGUGGAUCCAUUUCAGCAAAAUGGUGAAUCGUGGUUACAUGGAUGCUGCAAGCAUAUUUACAGCCGGUAAAUGUGGAUCAGUUGCUAAGCACAUGAAAUAUAGUCACAUGACCAUGGGGGACUGGCCUUUGGCCAAGUACUUUUGACGAUCCAUUGGAACUUGAACAAUUACUAGGCAACGAGUCAUAAGUCAAGGAUCAACUGUAGCCGUGUAUUAGAAUAAAAUAGAAUAACAGACUUGAAAUGGACCAUGGAGAUCUUCUAGUCCAACCCCCUGCUUAGGCAGGAAACCCUAUACCAU